GCUUUGUUGGCUCAGUCGGUAGAGCGUCAGUCUCAUAAUCUGAAGGUCGUGAGUUCGAUCCUCACACAGAGCA